rnacentral:rRNA from 1 species
UUAAGUUAAUAAGGGCGCACGGUGGAUGCCUUGGCACUAGAAGCCGAUGAAGGACGUGACUAACGACGAAAUGCUUUGGGGAGUUGUAAGUAAACAUUGAUCCAGAGAUGUCCGAAUGGGGGAACCCGGCAUGUAAUGCAUGUCACUCAUUACUGUUAAGGUAAUGAAGAGGAAGACGCAGUGAACUGAAACAUCUAAGUAGCUGCAGGAAGAGAAAGCAAACGCGAUUGCCUUAGUAGCGGCGAGCGAAAUGGCAAGAGGGCAAACCGAUGUGUUUACACAUCGGGGUUGUAGGACUGCGACGUGGGACGACAAGAUUAUAGAAGAAUUACCUGGGAAGGUAAGCCAAAGAGAGUAACAGCCUCGUAUUCGAAAUAGUCUUUAACCCUAGCAGUAUCCUGAGUACGGCGAGACACGAGAAAUCUCGUCGGAAUCUGGGAGGACCAUCUCCUAACCCUAAAUACUCUCUAGUGACCGAUAGUGAACCAGUACCGUGAGGGAAAGGUGAAAAGCACCCCGGGAGGGGAGUGAAAUAGAACCUGAAACCGUGUGCCUACAACAAGUUCGAGCCCGUUAAUGGGUGAGAGCGUGCCUUUUGUAGAAUGAACCGGCGAGUUACGAUAUGAUGCGAGGUUAAGUUGAAGAGACGGAGCCGUAGGGAAACCGAGUCUUAAUAGGGCGCAUUAGUAUCAUGUCGUAGACCCGAAACCAUGUGACCUACCCAUGAGCAGGGUGAAGGUGAGGUAAAACUCACUGGAGGCCCGAACCAGGGCACGUUGAAAAGUGCUUGGAUGACUUGUGGGUAGCGGAGAAAUUCCAAACGAACUUGGAGAUAGCUGGUUCUCUCCGAAAUAGCUUUAGGGCUAGCGUCGAUGUUAAGUCUCUUGGAGGUAGAGCACUGUUUGAUUGAGGGGUCCAUCCCGGAUUACCAAUAUCAGAUAAACUCCGAAUGCCAAUGAGAUAUAAUCGGCAGUCAGACUGCGAGUGCUAAGAUCCGUAGUCGAAAGGGAAACAGCCCAGACCACCAGCUAAGGUCCCAAAAUAUAUGUUAAGUGGAAAAGGAUGUGGGGUUGCACAGACAACUAGGAUGUUAGCUUAGAAGCAGCUAUUCAUUCAAAGAGUGCGUAAUAGCUCACUAGUCGAGUGACCCUGCGCCGAAAAUGUACCGGGGCUAAAACAUAUUACCGAAGCUGUGGAUACCUUUUAGGUAUGGUAGGAGAGCGUUCUAUGUGUGAAGAAGGUGUACCGUGAGGAGCGCUGGAACGCAUAGAAGUGAGAAUGCCGGUAUGAGUAGCGAAAGACAGGUGAGAAUCCUGUCCACCGUAUGACUAAGGUUUCCAGGGGAAGGCUCGUCCUCCCUGGGUUAGUCGGGACCUAAGGAGAGACCGAAAGGUGUAUCCGAUGGACAACAGGUUGAUAUUCCUGUACUAGAGUAUAUAGUGAUGGAGGGACGCAGUAGGCUAACUAAAGCGUGCGAUUGGAAGUGCACGUCUAAGCAGUGAGGUGUGAUAUGAGUCAAAUGCUUAUAUCUCUAACAUUGAGCUGUGAUGGGGAGCGAAGUUAAGUAGCGAAGUUAGUGAUGUCACACUGCCAAGAAAAGCUUCUAGCGUUAAUUAUACUCUACCCGUACCGCAAACCGACACAGGUAGUCGAGGCGAGUAGCCUCAGGUGAGCGAGAGAACUCUCGUUAAGGAACUCGGCAAAAUGACCCCGUAACUUCGGGAGAAGGGGUGCUGACUUUAAGUCAGCCGCAGUGAAUAGGCCCAAGCAACUGUUUAUCAAAAACACAGCUCUCUGCUAAAUCGUAAGAUGAUGUAUAGGGGGUGACGCCUGCCCGGUGCUGGAAGGUUAAGAGGAGCGCUUAGCAUUAGCGAAGGUGUGAAUUGAAGCCCCAGUAAACGGCGGCCGUAACUAUAACGGUCCUAAGGUAGCGAAAUUCCUUGUCGGGUAAGUUCCGACC